rnacentral:rRNA from 1 species
ACAUAUCAAUAAGCGGAGGAAAAGGAACCAACAGGGAUUGCCUUAGUAACGGCGAGUGAAGCGGCAACAGCUCAAAUUUGAAAUCUGGCUCCUUCGGGGUCCGAGUUGUAAUUUGCAGAGGAUGCUUCGAGUUAUGGUUCCUUCCGAGUUCCCUGGAACGGGACGCCAUAGAGGGUGAGAGCCCCGUCUGGUAGGAAACCAUGCUCAUGUGAAGCUCCCUCGACGAGUCGAGUAGUUUGGGAAUGCUGCUCUAAGGGGAGGUAUACUCCUUCCAAGGCUAAAUACCGGCUAGAGACCGAUAGCGCACAAGUAGAGUGAUCGAAAGAUGAAAAGUACUUUGAAAAGAGAGUCAAACAGCACGUGAAAUUGUUAAAAGGGAAGCGCUCGCUACCAGACGUGGGUUCGGUGGUUCAACCAGGUCCAUGACCUGGGGCACUCCGCCGGCCCAGGCCAGCAUCAGCUUUCCGUCGGGGGCAAAGGCGUCGGGAAUGUGGCUCUCCUUCGGGGGAGUGUUAUAGCCCGUCGCGUCAUACCCUUCGGGGGGCUGAGGUACGCGCUCCGCAAGGAUGCUGGCGUAAUGGUAGCUAGUGACCCGUCUUGAAACACGGACCAAGGAGUCAACCUUAUGUGCGAGUGCCCGGGCGUAAAACCCCAGCGCGGAAUGAAAGUGAACGUAGGUGAGAGCUUCGGCGCAUCACCGACCGAUCCUGAUGUCCUCGGACGGAUUUGAGUGAGAGCAUAUAGGGUUGGACCCGAAAGAAGAUGAACUAUGCGUGUGUAGGGUGAAGCCAGAGGAAACUCUGGUGGAGGCUCGCAGCGGUUCUGACGUGCAAAUCGAUCGUCAAACAUGCGCAUGGGGGCGAAAGACUAAUCGAAUCUUCUGGUAGCUGGUUUCCGCCGA